GUAGGUGGCAAGCGUUAUCCGGAAUUAUUGGGCAUAAAGCGCUCGCAGGCGGUCUUUUAAGUCUGAUGUGAAAGCCCACGGCUCAACCGUGGAGGGUCAUUGGAAACUGGGAGACUUGAGUGCAGAAGAGGAGAGUGGAAUUCCACGUGUAGCGGUGAAAUGCGUAGAGAUGUGGAGGAACACCAGUGGCGAAGGCGACUCUCUGGUCUGUAACUGACACUGAGGAGCGAAAGCGUGGGGAGCGAACAGGAUUAGAUACCCUGGUAGUCCACGCCCGUAAACGAUGAGUGCUAAGUGUUAGAGGGUUUUCCGCCCUUUAGUGCUGCAGCAAACGCAUUAAGCACUCCGCCUGGGGAGUACGGUCGCAAGACUG
rnacentral:rRNA from 1 species